rnacentral:rRNA from 1 species
AGAGAGAGACAUGCGCGCAUAUCAAUAAGCGGAGGAAAAGAAACUAACUAGGAUUCCCUCAGUAACGGCGAGUGAAGCGGGAAGAGCUCAAAUUUGAAAUCUUCAAGGUUCUACCUUGACGAAUUGUAGUUUAAAGAAGUGUUUUCUGUUGGAGUUUUGGUAAAAGUUCUUUGGAAUAGGACAUCAUAGAGGGUGAGAAUCCCGUAUUUGACCAUUAUUUCCAGCUUUGUGAUACACUUUCAAAGAGUCGGAUUGUUUGGGAAUGCAGUCCAAAAUGGGUGGUAAAUUUCAUCUAAAGCUAAAUAUUGGCGAGAGACCGAUAGCGAACAAGUACCGUGAGGGAAAGAUGAAAAGAACUUUGAAAAGAGAGUUAAACAGUACGUGAAAUUGUCAAAAGGGAAGCGUUUGACACCAGUGUUGUUUUCUCGAAAAUCAAUUAAAAAAGGCAGGAUUUUGUGUUGUAUUGACUUUAUCAGCUUUCUGCACUCUUUUCUUGUCUUUUUUAAUGCACUUUUCGUUUAACAAGUCAACAUCAAUUUCUUUUGUUGUAAAAGGGUCAUUGGAAGGUGGCUUUCUUUUCGGAGAAAGUGUUUAUAGCCUUUGGCCUCUGCAAUCGGAGAGAUUGAGGUCUGCAGCGUAGAUCCUUCGGGGUAGAUACAUUUGUGCUAAGUUAUAGCCUUUUAUAGACAACUUGUUGACUAUGAUCAGUCAUGUAGCUUACUCGCUUAUGCUAUUUUACCUACGCUUAGGAUGUUGAUGUGAUACUGCGAGC